GUCCCUGUAGCGCAAUGGAUAGCGUGUUGGACUUCAAAUCCAAAUGUUCGAAUCCCACCUGGAAUG
rnacentral:tRNA from 1 species